rnacentral:rRNA from 1 species
UUUAGGAUCGUAGUUGUCUAGAAGGUUAGCCUACAAGAGUAGCCUCGCAAGGCUGCUAGUCUCCUCGGAGGCGACACGCUCAAGGUGCGGAAAAACCCCCGCUGGGGGAAACCCGCAGCCAGCUGCCCCUACCCGGCAGCCGGUUCAGAGACUCAAUGAACGUGGGCGCUAGCCUAGCUGCGCUUGAGAUAGAGCCCGUCCCCGCCGGCAAUGGCGCGGAGGUAACGGAACCUGCGGAAGGAUCAUUAAAGAAUUUGGGCUACCCGCCCCCAUUCUCACCCUUUGUCUACUAGACCUCGUUGCUUCGGCUGGCGCUUGCGCUGGCCAGAGGCCUUAUAACUCUUGAAUGUUGAUGUCUGAGUCGCUAAAGAAAUUAGUUAAAACUUUCAACAACGGAUCUCUUGGUUAGACCAUCGAUGAAGAACGCAGCGAAAUGCGAUAAGUAAUGUGAAUUGCAGAAUCCAGUGAAUCAUCGAAUCUUUGAACGCACAUUGCGCUCCCUGGUAUUCCGGGGAGCAUGCCUGUUCGAGCGUCAUUACAACCCUCACGCCCCCGCGUGGUCUUGGGCUGGCCCAGCAGGGCCGGCCUCAAAAGCAGUGGCGGCGCCGUGCGACCCCUAAGCGUAGUAGAACUUCAAACCGCUUCUGGUGGCCGGGCGGCAGCCUGCUAAGCACCCCCACACUUCAAAGGUUGACCUCGGAUCAGGUAGGGAUACCCGCUGAACUUAAGCAUACUAAAA